UUCCACCAGUGACUGAGCACAGACCAGCACCAUGGAGCUGGGGCUGUGCUGGGUUCUCCUUGUUGCUCUCUUGAAAGGUGUGCAGUGUGAGGAGCAGCUGAUGGAGUCUGGGGGAGGCUUGGUGCAGCCUGGUGGGUCCCUGAGACUCUCCUGUGGAGCCUCCGGAUUCGACUUCAGUGAUUACUACAUGCACUGGAUCCGCCAGGCUCCAGGGAAGAGGCCUCAAUGGUUCUUAAAUAUCAGUGAUGAUAGUAGUGACACAGAGUAUGCAGACUCUGUGAAGGAUCGCUUCACCAUCUCCAGAGACAACAGCAAGAACACACUUUACCUGCAGAUGAACAGCCUGAGAGUGGAGGACUCGGCCAUAUAUUACUGUACUAGACACACAGAAGCUGGGAUUAUAAAUGAGGAGAACACCUUGGUGGAACACCAAGGAAUCAGGUGGCUGCACUGGUUUCCUGAGCCCAGCGGCAGUCCAGGCCUUUCAGACAUUCCUGGUUCACUCUGUUGCACACACUUGUCCCAGGCUGAGACGUAUGAGCUCAGCCCACAUGACAAAGGGCCUCGACCCACCAUGUGA